AACGAACGCUGGCGGCAUGCCUAACACAUGCAAGUCGAACGAGACCUUCGGGUCUAGUGGCGCACGGGUGCGUAACGCGUGGGAACCUGCCCUUAGGUUCGGAAUAACUCCCCGAAAGGGGUGCUAAUACCGGAUAAUGUCUUCGGACCAAAGAUUUAUCGCCUUUGGAUGGGCCCGCGUUGGAUUAGCUAGUUGGUAGGGUAAAAGCCUACCAAGGCGACGAUCCAUAGCUGGUCUGAGAGGAUGAUCAGCCACACUGGGACUGAGACCCGGCCCAGACUCCUACGGGAGGCAGCAGUGGGGAAUAUUGGACAAUGGGCGAAAGCCUGAUCCAGCAAUGCCGCGUGAGUGAUGAAGGCCUUAGGGUUGUAAAGCUCUUUUACCCGGGAUGAUAAUGACAGUACCGGGAGAAUAAGCCCCGGCUAACUCCGUU
rnacentral:rRNA from 1 species